AGUAGUGUAUGCUUCUCCUAAAGACUAAGCCAUGCAUGCCUUCGAAUAAGAGGAAGCAAUUCUCUCUGAAUCUGCGAACGGCUCCGCAAACCAGUUGUAAACUAUAGCAAGCAAGUUCAGGGUUGGCUCUCAUGGGGCCAGCUUUGGGCAAUACGGAUACCCCUGGUAAUUCUGAGGCUAAUACGAGAGUGUAAUUCCUGGCUGACUGGACCCUUCACGGGGUGUGGGAUGCUGGGGGUUGUGCGAUUUUGAGGCUUGGGUUUUAACUAGGAAAAGGCGCACGAUCAGACCGCGCUAUCAAAGGAUCGGUUUCCUCUCUCGGGGGGGGACUGGCCCUAGCGGCUCUUGCUGUGUGCUUCUGACCUAUCAACUAGACGGCAGCGUAAAGGACAUGCUAUGGUGACAACGGGUACAGAGGAUUAGGGUUCGAUCCUGGAGAGUGGGCCUGAGAGAUUGCUCAUACUUCUAAGGAAGGCAGCAGGCGCGCAACGUUCCCCUUGGGCAAUGCCCGAGGGCGUUAGGGGACAUAUGAAUGCCUGCCCAUUGGGUGGGCAAUUCAAAUGGGUCUGUUGUAAACAGGCUCUCGAGUAACAAUUAGAG
rnacentral:rRNA from 1 species